CCUUGUCUCUCCUUACUGCUGUUUUUAGGUCCGCCGAUGGCUGGGCCUGAUGCUGUUCGAUUCGGGCGAUGUCGUCGGGGCCGCCCUCCUGGGAUUCGGGCGGCUGUUAUUGCCCGUGUGCGCCGCGCCGGCGGUCGCCUUUCUGAUGUGGAUUCGUCAUCGGCGAUGGCUGCCGCUGAUGGGUUUGCCCGGCCAGCUGCAGUUGAUUCGGGUUGUCGCCGUCGGUCUGCUACUCGCCGGCCGUCGCCGUUUCGUUCUUCUCGGCCUGUACGUCUUUCCGCUGUCGUCCGAGAGUUGUGCCCUUAUGUGCUGCCGGUGCGUUCGGUCGGCCUACUCCUCUUGGUAAGUUCAGUUUUGUAAAUAUGCCUGUGCUUCUCUUGGGUUUUGUGGCCCUCUUUCAAAAUUGGUUCUAAUUUGUGUACGUGUUUCCAUUUGAGUGUUGCCUACUCCUGUUAUGGAGCACUUCCGUGUUUUGGAUGGCCGUCGUAAGCGGACGUUGGUGCGAUCGUACUGGUCGGGUCGGAAAAGAGGUGUUCUUCAUGCUUUACUUUUUUCCAGCUGUUGAUGUAUGUGUUCAUGUAUUUUCUCCUUUUGUUUCCAGUACGUGGGAUGCAGCCUCCUUUUCCUAAGGAUUAUAUUCAACUGCUUAAGGGUCAGUGUACAUAGUGUAUGGUUUAUGGGCACAUCUUGUUUUCUAUCUGUCUUGCCAACUCGGUGUUCUGUUUUGCAGCUACUUCUAGGGGGUGUUCAUAUUAUGGCGGGCCAGAUUUGUGUUGUCGUUACUGUGGGGCUUUCUUUUGGUUCCGUGAAGGAUCUAUUCAUCAUGCCGACCGACUUCUCGCUCUCCUAUUUACACGGGUUGCUGUCGGGCGGGCAGGAUUUCGUUGCCAAAAUUUGGUGAUUGGCCUUUUCCUUUGGACAGGCUGAUGCGUUUUGAUGGAGACACGGUUUCCUCUCGGUUCAUGCGAUUAAUACGGCAGUAUAAUUCUAUGUUCUGUUUUACGUCGUUGGGUGCACAAGUUGACCACACUAUCAAUGUUGGAGGUGCUCCAUACGUUUUCAAGAUGAACGGGGUUGUCUAUCAUCGUAUUGGUUCAUUGCUGCCGGCUGAGGGUGCAACUCCCAAGUUGGCGCAAUUGUACAUGGUAGACUCUGCUGACGAGUUGGACUGCAGGUUGAAUGUGUUUGACAGAGAAGAAACUUCUUCACUUGAGCCCGAUCCUGAGAUUGUUUCUUCAUUGAUAGCCUGAUCCUGAGAUCGUUUCAACUAUGGUCUACAUAGUUGCGAUUUACCAAUAGGCGCGGCGUGCCGCCGCGCGGGUAAAGCUAGUAUUAUUAUAUGAACCACUAACCGGUGCCUGUUAAUUCUAGAAUCUGACGAUGGUCGAAGCUUCCGGGUUUACUGUAGAUUUGGGAGAGUAGGUUCCCGAGGUCGGACCGAGCUACUCGGCCCCAUGCCACGGCACGCCACGGCACGAAGCGAUUCGUGCAUUUAAAUUCAAGUUUUGGCAGAAAACUAAUAAUGAAUAGUCCAAUCGCAAGAACUUCAGGUGUCACUCAAAGAAAUACACCUGGCUUGAAAUGAACCAUGGUAGAGGUGACAAGGAAACAAUAAGAUAUAUUCACUAACUUAAGUUCACAUCUCAGUGACUUCAUUGCAAUUAAUUUAGCACCUUCCUAAAUCUUCUUAAUGCUUUGGUCUUGUAUUUUUUAAUUCUUUUCAGAAGAAAGAAUUUGUUGCCAAUCAAGAGAAAAAGCUAGAGACUCGAACUGCGCAUUCCAUAUCUGUCAUCCGCGAUAUUAGCAUGAUGAAGCAGCAAAUGGUGGAAACCGGUUAUGAUGCUGAUAAACUUCCUCUUGGAAAGAUAAGCAAAUCUACCAUACUAAAGGGCUAUGACAUUUUAAAGAGGAUUUCUAAUGCUAUUUCAAAGGGUGGAAGUCACAGGAUACAGCUAGAACAAUUGAGUGGGUGAGUCCAAACUUUUCCUUUUAUGUGCCUUCGAAUAUAGUUUUACUUGCUGGGAUAUUCCUCGAUUACUCGGUUUCAGGGAAUUCUACACUGUGAUUCCUCGCAACUUUGGUUUCAAAAAGAUGCGUAAGUUUCAAACUUUCUGCUUAAUUCACCCCACAGUCAUGAUCUUCUAACAAAAUUUAUCUGGCAGGUGAAUUUAUCAUCGACACUCCUGAGAAACUAAAAGCUAAGCUAGAAAUGGUAAUAGGCUACUAUCUUUGGAUUUACUGUAGCGCUGAUCUGUUAUGAAAUUGUGUACGUGAAAGGGAAUACUAGCUUUUGUCCACUGAUCUUUGGCAAAAUGGCAAGGAUAAUGUAGAACAAUGAUUGUUCUGAAGAGAUUCAGAACCAGAGUCUCCUUUUGUCCAGUGCAAUAUGUGCUUGUCCUUCCUAUAAAAGUUUGAAGUGCAUUGAAUAUUCACAUUUUUUUUCAAGAACAUUCAUAUCCAUAAUUUCAUAUUCCCUGUACUAAUUCACCUUCAUAAUUUCAUAUUGCCUGUACUAAUUCCACUUUCAUAUCUAAUAUUACCACUUGUCUUGCUCUUUCGAAGGUCGAAGCCCUUGGUAAGAUUGAGACUGCGACCAGGCUUUUGGAAGACGAUUCAAACGAUUAGCAAGACAUCGGUAAAGAAAUGUGGUGUACACACAUGAAAACUCUGGACUUAUAAGUUUGUUUCAUUUUGUGAUCCAAGGACGAUCUUUUUUAUGCUCGAUACAAGCAGCAGCUUCGGCAUGGGAGAUUUGGUGCGAGAGAAAUGCCCGGGUCUUUAGAAAUUGUUCAUCCAUGCCGUUCAGUUUUAGAAAAAAAAUCAGCACCAACCGAAAUCAUCGAAAUUCAGUGCAUCUGAGUGAUUUCAGUUUGUAUUUUGGGCAAAGGGCCGAAAUAUUCACUUGAAUUCAAUUAAAUAUUUAAGUUUUGAAUACUAUCUAAAUUCAUGUGUAUUACUGAAAUUGUUGAAAUAUUUUGGACAAAAGGUAAAUAUUUCAUUAUCUACUGAUAUUACUAAAUUCAAUGAAUUCCAUUAAAAUCUCAUUGAAAGUGAAAAACAUUGGUGUUUAAUACGAUCAAAGAAGAGGCUCUUUUUUGGGAGAAGGCAUGGGCCAAAUGCUUAGGAUCUUUGAUGCCGCGAGAGCAGUUCAUUGUAGCGUCGGGCCAUUUGGUCGAUUAUUACCUAUAAACUCUUCUUAAUUAAUGCGAUGAGGCAAAACUUUUGCCUCCAUUUCAAAAAAAAUUGAUUCCCAAGUGCAUCCCUGCCAAAAAUCAGAUGUAAUUCUGCUAAUGCGUCAAAUACUCACAAAUAGACAUGUUGGUACCAAUGGCUCAUGUCCGAUUUGUUACCAGGACGCGGAAGAUAUACGUCAUCUGCUUUUUGACUGUACACAUGCAAAGGAAUUGUGGCUCUGACUGGUAUAUUGGACAUUGCUGAAGAAGCGAAGUUAAUUGAUCGCUCUGGUUUAAUCAUACUCGACACCUGAUCCUAGCAGAUUCCAGACCGAUCCCUAUAAAGUCCAAUUUGGAUGUCAAACAGGUGGUACUUAUGGUGGGUGCCCCGUGAGCUCACCCAUGAUGGAUCACCGCCACCUCCCUCGAGAUGGCCUAUUUCGGUCCUGGCAAUUGCAAACAAUUUUCAUCAAGCCAACUUAAAAAUUUAUGGUGUACAGGAACAUAAAUGGAGCAAGCCGGAAUCCAAGUUUGUGAAGCUAAAUGUGGAUGCCUCUUUCCAUAUGGAUGAGGGAGCAGGAGCCAUUGCAGCUGUUCUUAGAGACAGUAAUGGUAAUUUUUUGGCAACACAAUGUCGAUUUAUACCUUACGCAGCUGAUGUGGUGACAACGAAGGCUAUGGCUAUGCGCGAUGGAGUAAUCUCUGCAAACUCUCUGGGGUUCCCUCGAGUGGAAGCUGAGUCUGACUCCUUGACGGUAAUUGAUUAUUGUAUGGUGGGAUGUUGCGACGGCGAUCUUUGCAGAAUGUGUGGACUUGUCUUCGUCAAUCGGGAAGGUCAAAUUUAAACAUUGUUAUCAUUCUUCUAAUCAAGUGACGCAUGUGCUAACUAAUCAUGAUUUUUAUAAUAAGAUUUCUAGUAGUUGGACGGGGGAGCCUUCGAGCUACCUAGUUCCAAACCUUGUGGCUGAUAUAAUCACUGUUUAAUUUUAAUAAAACUAGCCAUGAUGACCUUCUUAAAAAAAGACCCAAAACUGAUACAGCCAGCCGCACGAAGAUGAA